AUUCUUGCUUUGGCAGAACAUAUACUAAAAUUGGAACGAUACAGAGAAAAUUAGCAUGGCCCUUGCGCAAGGAUUAAAAAUCCUAAAGCGUUCCACAUUCUA